rnacentral:tRNA from 1 species
UGAUAAUUAGCUCAGCUGAAAAGAAAGAGCAUCGCCACCCUUCACAAAUAAUGGCGAGGGUCGCAGGUAUCAAGUCCAGUAUCACCCACCA